CGGGGUGCUAGCUCAAUUGGCAGAGCUGCGGACUUUUAAUCCGUGGUUGUGGGUUAGAGCCCCACGCGACCGGGCC
rnacentral:tRNA from 1 species